GAAGGCAAGAUCUGUUAUCUUCAACCAGCUCUGCUACAAACGAGAGAGGCAAGGUUUGUCUUCGAUCUGCUUCGCUGUCAAUGCAGGAAGGCAAGAUCUGCUAUCUUCAACCAGCUCUGCUACAAACGAGAGAGGUAAGGUUUGUCUUUGAUCUGCUUCGCUGUCAAUGCAGGAAGGCAAGAUCUGCUAUCUUCAACCAGCUCUGCUACAAACGAGAGAGGCAAGGUUUGUCUUCGAUCUGCUUCGCUGUCAAUGCAGGAAGGCAAGAUCUGCUAUCUUCAACCAGCUCUGCUAC
rnacentral:lncRNA from 1 species